rnacentral:rRNA from 1 species
UGAGGAAUAUUGGUUCAAUGGGCGAGAGCCUGAACCAGCCAAGUCGCGUGAGGGAAGACGGUCCUACGGAUUGUAAACCUCUUUUGUCGGGGAGCAAUAAAGCGUACGCGUACGCAGAUGCGAGUACCCGAAGAAAAAGCAUCGGCUAACUCCGUGCC